UACAGAGGUCUCAAGCGUUGUUCGGAUUCAUUGGGCGUAAAGGGUGCGUAGGCGGCGCGGUAAGUCGGGUGUGAAAUUUCGAGGCUUAACUUCGAAACUGCAUUCGAUACUGCCGUGCUUGAGGACUGGAGAGGAGACUGGAGUUUACGGUGUAGCGGUGAAAUGCGUAGAUAUCGUAAGGAAGACCAGUGGCGAAGGCGGGUCUCUGGACAGUUCCUGACGCUGAGGCACGAAGGCCAGGGGAGCAAACGGG
rnacentral:rRNA from 1 species